CAGUAGCCGCGGUAAUACGUAGGGUGCGAGCGUUAAUCGGAAUUACUGGGCGUAAAGCGUGCGCAGGCGGUUGUGUAAGACAGGUGUGAAAUCCCCGGGCUUAACCUGGGAACUGCGCUUGUGACUGCACAGCUAGAGUAUGGCAGAGGGGGGUGGAAUUCCACGUGUAGCAGUGAAAUGCGUAGAGAUGUGGAGGAACACCGAUGGCGAAGGCAGCCCCCUGGGCCAAUACUGACGCUCAUGCACGAAAGCGUGGGGAGUAAACAGGAUUAGAUACCCGAGUAGUCCCUGUCUCUUAUAC
rnacentral:rRNA from 1 species